CAGAUGUUGGUUGAAGACCAGGCAACACAGGAGUCGUGAAAACCACGAUCAACUCUUCCCUGGAGCAUCGAGAGCUCACUCAGCCAAACAGCCUGGUGCCGAAUCUUUGGGCUUCGAAUUCACCCCAAAGAUGCUGGACCAGAGAUCCGAUGGCAACUAUAACCCAGAUGGUGCGAAGCACAGCAAACCGAGGAUGACGGGGAACAGAAAUGAAGGCCGUCAAAAGAAAAGGACUUGCAAGGACACGACACUCCAGAAGACGCCACGUUCUUGAAAUAACAGAACUUUAUUUAGAAACUGUUUAAAAGUAGAAAAAAACCCUGUCAAAAGGA